rnacentral:rRNA from 1 species
GUGGGUAGUUUGACUGGGGCGGUCUCCUCCUAAAGCGUAACGGAGGAGCACGAAGGUUGGCUAAUCCUGGUCGGACAUCAGGAGGUUAGUGCAAUGGCAUAAGCCAGCUUGACUGCGAGCGUGACGGCGCGAGCAGGUGCGAAAGCAGGUCAUAGUGAUCCGGUGGUUCUGAAUGGAAGGGCCAUCGCUCAACGGAUAAAAGGUACUCCGGGGAUAACAGGCUGAUACCGCCCAAGAGUUCAUAUCGACGGCGGUGUUUGGCACCUCGAUGUCGGCUCAUCACAUCCUGGGGCUGAAGUAGGUCCCAAGGGUAUGGCUGUUCGCCAUUUAAAGUGGUACGCGAGCUGGGUUUAGAACGUCGUGAGACAGUUCGGUCCCUAUCUGCCGUGGGCGCUGGAGAACUGAGGGGGGCUGCUCCUAGUACGAGAGGACCGGAGUGGACGCAUCACUGGUGUUCGGGUUGUCAUGCCAAUGGCACUGCCCGGUAGCUAAAUGCGGAAGAGAUAAGUGCUGAAAGCAUCUAAGCACGAAACUUGCCCCGAGAUGAGUUCUCCCUGAGACUACAAGUCUCCUGAAGGAACGUUGAAGACGACGACGUUGAUAGGCCGGGUGUGUAAGCGCAGCGAUGCGUUGAGCUAACCGGUACUAAUGAACCGUGAGG